GGGGUUUAGUGGCGCACGGGUGCGUAACGCGUGGGAAUCUGCCCUUGGGUUCGGGAUAACAGUUGGAAACGACUGCUAAUACCGGAUGAUGGCUUCGGCCCAAAGAUUUAUCGCCCAGGGAUGAGCCCGCGUAGGAUUAGGUAGUUGGUGGGGUAAAGGCCCACCAAGCCGACGAUCCUUAGCUGGUCUGAGAGGAUGAUCAGCCACACUGGGACUGAGACACGGCCCAGACUCC
rnacentral:rRNA from 1 species